UACGUAGGCAGCAAGCGUUGUUCGGAGUUACUGGGCGUAAAGGGUGUGUAGGCGGUUGGAUAAGUGUGGUGUGAAAUCUCCCGGCUUAACUGGGAGGGUGCGCUACAAACUGUCUGACUAGAGUGUGGGAUGGGUAGGUGGAAUUCCUGGUGUAGCGGUGAAAUGCGUAGAUAUCAGGAGGAACACCGGUGGUGUAGACGGCUUACUGGACCAUAACUGACGCUGAGACACGAAAGCGUGGGUAGCAAACAGG
rnacentral:rRNA from 1 species